AACGCUGGCGGCGUGCUUAACACAUGCAAGUCGAACGAAGAUAUGUUGAAAGCUUGCUGAUGCAUAUUUAGUGGCGGACGGGUGAGUAACGCGUGAGGACUUGUCUAGUACAGGGGGACAACAGUUGGAAACGGCUGCUAAUACCCCAUAAGCCUAAGGGUAAAAGGAGCAAUCCGGUACAUGAGAGACUCGCGUCCUAUCAGCUAGUAGGUGGGGUAACGGCCCACCUAGGCGAAGACGGGUAGCCGGCCUGAGAGGGCGAACGGCCACACUGGAACUGAGACACGGUCCAGACUCCUACGGGAGGCAGCAGUGGGGAAUAUUGGGCAAUGGAGGGAACUCUGACCCAGCGACGCCGCGUGAGUGAAGAAAUCCCUCGGGAUGUAAAGCUCUGUUGUGUGGGAAGAUAAUGACGGUACCACACGAGGAAGCCCCGGCAAACUACGUG
rnacentral:rRNA from 1 species